ACAGGUGUUACACACAUGAGCUAGAAAACUUAGAAUUUUAGCUUAGUACCUUUGAGUAAAAAUAGGAACAGGAAUUAUUGCCUUAUACACCAACAUAUUAUUUAUUCUGGGAUUUCUGGCUUCUGACUGUGACCACCUGCCUUAGCAGAUUUGAAGCCCAAUCUUCUACACUGGUGCUGGCUUCAGUUCAUUCUCAUCCCUAUGUCUGCUGCUGUUUCAACACUGUGGUGGUCAAACUGAGUUGUACUGAGCAGCACCCAGAAAGGAGGAGGUAGAGGGGAGCCAUCAGCUGGAGGCAGCCAGCUGGCUCCUGCAUAACAGCAGUAAAGCCCUGGGAAAGAAUAAGAACUUACAAGAUCAGACUCAGCACGCAAGAAGUCACACACCAGUUCUUCAGCUUAGCAGGAAGCCCAGUCUUGCUUUAAACUCUCUGUACCCAAAACAAUAGUAAAGCAGAGGAAAUUAUGGCAAAUUAAACUGAACACAAAAACAAAUUUGCAUCUAUUAAACAAAAUAUGCAAAUUCAGUCAUAUGCAAUGUUAUCACUGCUCAUUUGAUUUAGCUUCUUCAAAUAUUUAAGUUUUAAUGAAAUAACUGCUCAAACAUAUUGGCAUAUAUGUACAUGCAUACAUUUAGAGCAGGCAGACCUGCAGAGAAACUAAGUUUUGGGACAAACCUUCAGCUGUUGUAGCCUGUGCCAACCCCAAGUACACCUGUCUGCAGCAACCCAGGUGUGGCUGUGAGUGCUGUGUCAGCUCCAGAACAAGCUGAGCUCCUCUUUCACUGACUGAUGGAAUCCAGGGCUGGCAAUGCUUUAUAUUGGGUGUUCUAACAAUUACUUUCAGCAAAUACACAAUAUAGAGACACAAGAGAGCUAACCGAGCUAGAGGCACUGCUGAGUACUGAGAGCAGCCUCAGGAUCCUAAUCUGCUCACUACCCAAAGAAUCCCUGGGCUGGAAUUGCUUCAAGUGCAUUCCACAGAUCAGACAGGAUGUUUUGCUUUUUUUCUCAUUAGAAAAACAGAAAAAUUUCCUUGUUGUCAUUUCAACAGAACAGGAUUUCAGAGUCAUUCUGUAAGAAAUAAAGAAAAAAAAAUUACAGCAUGCAGUCGGCAAGUGUACUUCUUUGAUUUUCUUACUUCCUCACACUAUGACACUAGCUGUAUUUUUGAAACUGGAACUGCUACUGAAGAAAGAUCUUUCAAGCCUUGUCAGACAAAGCAGUUUUCUCAUGCAAAAACAUUUCCCUCAUAGCAACAA